GGAAGUCAGGGCAAGGCCUGUGGGGAGACGUGUGGCUGGUCUGUGUGGAGACCUGAGUGAGGCAAAAGGGUCUAUGAAGAUUUGGGAAAGAACAUUCCAGGUGAGUUGAACUCACCAAAUGGGUGUCUAAGUGACGUACCAUGGAUCAACGAGAGAAGGAGCAUCUUGCUGACUACAUAUCAGAGCUUUUGCAAUGAAGAUGCAGCUCAACCCUUCUCAUGGAACAGCUGUCUUACCUUGCUCCAGAUUCACUGAUCAUAUGAAGACUUUCUCUGAAUCUUUUAAACUUAGAAGUUUAUGUUUUCUGCAUUUUCCAGGUAAAUUCAGAAAUAAUCCCAAGAAAAAAACAGUUUCUUUAGAAACUCUAAAAUAUGUACAGGUAAAAGCAUAACGACUGUUGAACACUUGAAAUUUGCUUCAAAAUAGUAAACAAUUCAUUGGCUUGUGAAGUUGGUAAAUCCAUGGGAUAGACUGGCUCAAAGCAUGGC
rnacentral:lncRNA from 1 species